AGAGUUUGAUCAUGGCUCAGAACGUACGCUGGCGGCACGCCUAACACAUGCAAGUCGAACGAAGUAGCAAUACUUAGUGGCAGACGGGUGAGUAACAUGUGGGUAUCUGCCCUUUGGCCUGGAAUAACACGAGGAAACUUGUGCUAAUACCGGAUAAGUCUUUACGGAGAAAGCUUUAUGCACCAUUGGAUGAGCCCGCACUUGAUUAGUUUGUUGGUGGGGUAAUGGCCUACCAAGACUGUGAUCAAUAGCUGAUUUGAGAGGAUGAUCAGCCACAUUGGGACUGAGACACGGCCCAAACUCCUACGGGAGGCAGCAGUGGGGAAUCUUGCACAAUGGAGGAAACUCUGAUGCAGCGAUGCCGCGUGAGUGAAGAAGGCCCUUGGGUUGUAAAGCUCUUUCGUCGGGGAAGAAAAUGACUGUACCCGAAUAAGAAGGUCCGGCUAACUUCGUGCCAGCAGCCGCGGUAAUACGAAGGGACCUAGCGUAGUUCGGAAUUACUGGGCUUAAAGAGUUCGUAGGUGGUUGAAAAAGUUAGUGGUGAAAUCCCAGAGCUUAACUCUGGAACUGCCAUUAAAACUUUUCAGCUAGAGUAUGAUAGAGGAAAGCAGAAUUUCUAGUGUAGAGGUGAAAUUCGUAGAUAUUAGAAAGAAUACCAAUUGCGAAGGCAGCUUUCUGGAUCAUUACUGACACUGAGGAACGAAAGCAUGGGUAGCGAAGAGGAUUAGAUACCCUCGUAGUCCAUGCCGUAAACGAUGUGUGUUAGACGUUGGAAAUUUAUUUUCAGUGUCGCAGCGAAAGCGAUAAACACACCGCCUGGGGAGUACGACCGCAAGGUUAAAACUCAAAUGAAUUGACGGGGACCCGCACAAGUAGUGGAGCAUGUGGUUUAAUUCGAAGAUACGCGCAGAACCUUACCAACACUUGACAUGUUCGUCGCGACUCUAAGAGAUUAGAGUUUUCGGUUCGGCCGGACGAAACACAGGUGCUGCAUGGCUGUCGUCAGCUCGUGUCGUGAGAUGUUGGGUUAAGUCCCGCAACGAGCGCAACCCUCACUUUUAGUUGCCAUCAUUAAGUUGGGCACUCUGAAAGAACUGCCAGUGAUAAGCUGGAGGAAGGUGGGGAUGACGUCAAGUCCUCAUGGCCCUUACGUGUUGGGCUACACACGUGCUACAAUGGUAUCUACAACAGGAAGCAAGACUGCGAGGUCAAGCAAAUCCUUAAAAGAUACCUCAGUUCGGAUUGCACUCUGCAACUCGAGUGCAUGAAGCUGGAAUUACUAGUAAUCGUGGAUCAGCGUGCCACGGUGAAUGCGUUCCCGGGUCUUGUACACACCGCCCGUCACACCAUGGGAGUUGGUUCUACCUUAAGGCAAGGUUUUAAACCCUUGACCACGGUAUAGUCAGCGACUGGGGUGAAGUCGUAACAAGGUAACCGUA
rnacentral:rRNA from 1 species